GGCAUUCUGGCCGAGUGGUCUAAGGCGCCAGGUUCAGGUGACUGAAUCAAUAUCCUGGUCUCUCCGGAGGCGAGAGUUCGAAUCUCUCGGAUGUCA
rfam:Yarrowia lipolytica strain CLIB122 chromosome C complete sequence.